UCUUAUGGAUGAGCAAAAAAAGUGGUUUCCUGAGGUGGAAUCUACUCUUGGUGAAGAUGCUCUAAA
rnacentral:pre_miRNA from 1 species